ensembl:lncRNA
CUUCCCAGCUCUGCCUGUGUCUCACCGCCUGAGGCUCCUGGGGAUGGGGGGACGGGGGGAGCUUGCUGUUACCCCCGUUCAGGCUGCCUCCUCGAGCUGGCAGAGAGAGGCUGGGGCAGGGAGGGUCCCCUGGGUAAAGGUGCCUGUGAUGAGCUGCAGUGCCAGCACAUCUGUGCAACUAUUACCAAUUAUUUUCCUCACUAUAAACACCCAGCAGGAAGGCAGGGAAGCAACCAACCCAAACUGUUUAAAAUAGAAACCGAAAUUGCUGCACAGGGAAGCCGGGCCAGCCGGCAGAGCAGGGCCCUGCACCAGGAACCGGGGCUCUCCCCGAACCAGCUGCCCUUCAAUCACACUUGCUCCUGCUACCCCAGCCUGCAACCCCACCUCAACCUCCUCCUCCACCGGCCAGGCAGAAUGAGAUGGGAAAAGUCCCUGCCUAGGAGAUGCGCGCCUCUCUCCUCCCUAAGGAUGCUCCGGGGAGGGGGCCCUAGGCAAACCCACAGCUCCUCAGCCUGCCUUGGAUCCCUGCUGCUUUCCAGAGACAGUCUCAGCACAUUUCCUGGGCCUAGCCAGGCCUGAGCCCCAGUCAGGGGAUGGGAGCGGGGUGUGCUGAGGUGGCCAAGUCGUCAAGGAUGCAGCAGGUGAUCUCGUCACAGUCCCACAUGCUACAGGUGAGAAAACCAAAGCCCAGAGAGGGAAAUGAGUUACCCACUGUCACCCAGCAAUUUAUGAGCCAAGCUCUGGCCUUGCGUCCCAGGCCCCGGAGUUGCUGAGCUAAGCUGGCAAUGUCUCUGCCUGUUGUGGAAUCACAGAAAACCCAGGGACGAUGGCUGCCUCUGCUGUGAAUAUUAACAACCUUGCUUCCCUCGGCCUUCCCUUCCGGGCUGCCUCCUGCUUCAAAGGCUGCCCUGGCCAGCCCCUCCCUGGGGCUGGUACCUCGGCCCUUCUAUUUUGGUGGCAUGGCAGGGGUGGGGCAUAGCCUUGCCUAGCCUUGCCUGCCCCUCACGGGUGCUCUCACAUCCUCUCUGCCAUAGGGGGAGGCGCUACUCUGGGAGGUGGGGGGGCCACGGAGACACUCAGAUGUUCUGAACAAAAAUAAAAGGUGCCCGGGUGGCCUAUCUGCAUUUUCAAACACCUCCAACCUACAUCCCUUGAACUGCUUUCACCUCUUGCCCUCUAAGGAGCUGGCAGGCUUCAAAGCCACUUCC